CAGUCGCCGCGGUAAUACGUAGGGUGCAAGCGUUAAUCGGAAUUACUGGGCGUGAAGCGUGCGCAGGCGGUUUGUUAAGACAGAUGUGAAAUCCCCGGGCUCAACCUGGGAACUGCAUUUGUGACUGGCAAGCUAGAGUAUGGCAGAGGGGGGUGGAAUUCCGCGUGUAGCAGUGAAAUGCGUAGAUAUACGGAGGAACACCGAUGGCGAAGGCAGCCCCCUGGGCCAAUACUGACGCUCAUGCACGAAAGCGUGGGGAGCAAACAGGAUUAGAUACCCGCGUAGUCCCUGUCUCUUAUAC
rnacentral:rRNA from 1 species